GAUUAACGUACUCUAUAAGGUUGUAUAAUUAUAUUUAGAAUGUAAGUGAUUAACGUGUAAUUAUUUGUUUUUCUCUAUCUUUGGUUUUACUAAAUUAAAGUAAAUUAUCUUGUUGAAUAACUCAUGUCGGUCAGUUACACAUCCCUUCUAUGUUCUAUACUUUCUGCAAAUAUGAUUAAAUAUAUCUCACGUGGCCUCUAUACUAUGUAUGACUUCGUUCCUGAUUUUUGUUCUGUCCCCUCAGCAAAUAGUAUGACUGUUGAGCCUACCAUCAUUAUGUUUUUAUCCCACAACGUUACUCCUUUACCGUGUCCACCCUCAGGUUCGCCCUAGCGUCAGUUAGUUCUGGAAAAUAAAAAAAAAAGGAAACUUGUGGAGUUUUCCUUUUUUUGCUGGAGAUAAGGGAGAAUGUAGCAGUUAUGCUAUGGACCCUUUAAAAUUAAUUACGAUUUUCGGUUCAUUCAAUUAAAUUUCAUUAAAAAUACCCCUCUAGAAAAUUCUUUGGAGACGCCUAUUUAAUCGCCCAGGUGCCUAUUUUCGCAGCGAAGCAAGAGGAAAGCACCGCGCAUGUUUCUAUCGGAUCGAUACGAAUCGAUUUCCGAUAACAUUGAAGAGCAGUUGGUCAGGAAACGGCUCGAACGGCGGAUGGCGCGCCGCUAGUAAGGUUAUUCCCACUUUUAAGUGACGGGAUUGAGACAAAUUUUCGAUGGAAAUCAAAUAAUUAGAAGGAAAUUAAGCGUCAGCUAAUCCCAUCUACAAAACUAGAUAACCAAAGUUAAACAUGUCUUUGGACUUCUUCACAUAACAGAAGUGGAUAUUCCGGCGUGCCUGCCUUGUUUCAAUCCCGUAACUUAGUUAUUUAGUCACACAACGUGAGUCUAUCACGUUAAUUAUGUACUAGUUAGAUUGCUAGCCACUCUGUGAUGGUUUAUCCCUAGAGUGGGCUGUUUUUGUUGGAUAAUACACCAUACCUGAUUUUACUACAACCAGCAUCUUCACCCAGGACCUUGCAGUAGGACUUACUCACCACAGCAGCCAACCAGCGUUAGCGUGCCAAAAGAAUUCAUCUCUAUGGACUUGCAACCCUACUUUUAACCGGCUGUUGUGUAAAAGCUAAGUUUAUUUACUUUUUCUGUAUUUACUUUUGGGUAAGAUAUAUUUGCUACAUUGUAAACUUUUCGUAUGCAUACGAUUAGGAAGAGUACAUAUAUUUUCGUGAUAGAUAGGGUUUUAGGUUGUUGUUUUUUUUUCUUUUUGAUUCAGUAUAAGUAGGAGUUAGUUAAAAUAAAUAAAAUCAGGUCUUGUUUAAUAAUCAUAAAUAAUUGUAUCUUAAAAUUUAUUAGGGAAUCAGGUUGUAAAAUUUUGUCGCGGAUUUUAAAAUAGGGAAUACGUCUAGUAGGUUUUUUUUGUAUAAUAUAUAAAGAGUCACUGACCAACUCAUUUAUAUAGACCUUUUUGCUAUUCCAACGGACUUUUGAUUUGGAUUUUGAUUUUAAUACUUUUGCUUGGCCAGUUAUAGUGGAUAAUUGCUUGUUGAGUGGCCUUUGCGGUCCUAUUUUAUCUUUUCCCCAUCCACUAUCACUGUUAUUACGUUGCGUUAUAUGUAAAGUGUUAUUAUUUAAUAUUUAUUAUUAAUAUAUUUGUAUGUAUUAA